rnacentral:misc_RNA from 1 species
GAUGAAGAACGUAGCGAACUGCGAUAAGUAAUGUGAAUUGCAGAAUUCAGUGAAUCAUCGAGUCUUUGAACGCACAUUGCGCCCCCUGGCAUUCCGGGGGGCAUGCCUGUCCGAGCGUCAUUGCUGCCCUUCAAACCCGGCUUGUGUGUUGGGUCGUCGUCCCCCCCGGGGGACGGGCCCGAAAGGCAGCGGCGGCACCGCGUCCGGUCCUCGAGCGUAUGGGGCUUUGUCACCCGCUCGAUUAGGGCCGGCCGGGCGCCAGCCGGCGUCUCCAACCUUCUAUUUUACCAGGUUGACCUCGGAUCAGGUAGGGAUACCCGCUGAACUUAAGCAUAUCAAUAAGCGGAGGA